rnacentral:rRNA from 1 species
UACGGAGGGUGCAAGCGUUAUCCGGAUUCACUGGGUUUAAAGGGUGCGUAGGUGGAGUGGUAAGUCAGUGGUGAAAUCUCCAAGCUUAACUUGGAAAGUGCCGUUGAUACUAUCAUUCUUGAAUAUCGUGGAGGUAAGCGGAAUAUGUCAUGUAGCGGUGAAAUGCUUAGAUAUGACAUAGAACACCGAUUGCGAAGGCAGCUUGCUACACCAUCAUUGACACUGAGGCACGAAAGCGUGGGGAGCAAACAGG